rnacentral:rRNA from 1 species
GGCGAACGCUGGCGGCGUGCUUAACACAUGCCAGUCGAACGGAAAGGCCCUGCUUUUGUGGGGUGCUCGAGUGGCGAACGGGUGAGUAACACGUGAGUAACCUGCCCUUGACUUUGGGAUAACUUCAGGAAACUGGGGCUAAUACCGGAUAGGAGCUCCUGCUGCAUGGUGGGGGUUGGAAAGUUUCGGCGGUUGGGGAUGGACUCGCGGCUUAUCAGCUUGUUGGUGGGGUAGUGGCUUACCAAGGCUUUGACGGGUAGCCGGCCUGAGAGGGUGACCGGCCACAUUGGGACUGAGAUACGGACCAGACUCCUACGGGAGGCAGCAGUGGGGAAUAUUGCACAAUGGGCGGAAGCCUGAUGCAGCAACGCCGCGUGCGGGAUGACGGCCUUCGGGUUGUAAACCGCUUUCGCCUGUGACGAAGCGUGAGUGACGGUAAUGGGUAAAGAAGCACCGGCUAACUACGUG